GAUGAACGCUAGCGGGAGGCCUAACACAUGCAAGCCGAGCGGUAUUGUUUCUUCGGAAAUGAGAGAGCGGCGUACGGGUGCGUAACACGUGUGCAACCUGCCUUUAUCUGGGGGAUAGCCUUUCGAAAGGAAGAUUAAUACUCCAUAAUAUAUUGAACGGCAUCGUUUAAUAUUGAAAGCUCCGGCGGAUAGAGAUGGGCACGCGCAAGAUUAGCUAGUUGGUGAGGUAACGGCUCACCAAGGCGAUGAUCUUUAGGGGGCCUGAGAGGGUGAUCCCCCACACUGAUACUGAGACACGGACCAGACUCCUACGGGAGGCAGCAGUGAGGAAUAUUGGUCAAUGGGUGCAAGCCUGAACCAGCCAUCCCGCGUGAAGGACGACUGCCCUAUGGGUUGUAAACUUCUUUUGUAUAGGGAUAAACCUACCCUCGAGAGGGUAGCUGAAGGUACUAUACGAAUAAGCACCGGCUAACUCCGUG
rnacentral:rRNA from 1 species